UAGCAGAACAUCAACCUCCCCUCUUUUUGCUCCUUAGCCGAAUCCCAAGAGUUCCUCUUGACUCCAGCCUACCACCAUGAAUGGAGACUAAACCGUUCGAACCUUGGAGUCCCUAUUUCAGCCUUAAGACCCCCUCUACAGUUCGAUUCCGGCGAAGAGGAAGGGAUCUUGUGGCACGUUUUCAAGGUACGGGUGCGCACUCAGGUACGAUGGUUUGGGCGUGGCAUGGCUGCUGAGACGCUAGUAUCAUACGGAGAGUGGGUGUGGCGCGAUGUGGGUGCUGCUCGUGAAGGCUGUGGCGCGAGUACCCCUUUGCCCUAGGGUUUGCUGAGAUUUGGCUUGGCUUCAGGGUCGUUUGGACUUGUUUUAAAUAUUGGGCCACUGGAUUUGGGCCACAGGGACUGUUUUGGGUCUUUGGGCUUGUAAUAGGGCUUAUUAUUGGCCAUGUAAUGGGACUGUUAUAAAACUUGGGUUUUAAAUUUAUUUAUUUAUUUAUAUUAUAUAUGUAUUUGGGUUUCUAGUGGGCCCGGGCAAAUUUGGCCCACUACAUAUGACAUCAAUUAUUAAAUCUCAUUUGACAUUAUUGACAA